rnacentral:rRNA from 1 species
AAUUAUCUGUCUCAUUUUUAUUAUUAGAAUUUAAAUUUUAAGUUAAAAUGCUUAAAUAUUUUUAUUGGACGAGAAGACCCUAUAGAUCUUUAUUUAUUUAGAACUGUAAAUUUUUGGUUUAUUAAUAUUUAUUUAUUUAAAUUUAUUUUGUUGGGGUGACAUAAGGAUAUAAUAAACUCCUUAUAUUUUUUAUCAUUUAUUUAUGAAUAUUUGACCUUUUAUUAAUGUUACAAGAUUUAGAUACCUUAGGGAUAACAGCGUAAUUCUUUUUGAGAGUUCUUAUCGACAAAGGAGAUUGCGACCUCGAUGUUGGAUUAAGAUUAUAGUUAGGUGUAGGUGCUUAAUUUUUAGGUCUGUUCGACCUUUAAAAUCUUACAUGAUCUGAGUUCAAACCGGAGA